rnacentral:rRNA from 1 species
GGCUGCAACUCGCCUACAUGAAGUCGGAAUCGCUAGUAAUCGCGGAUCAGCAUGCCGCGGUGAAUACGUUUCCGGGCCUUGUACACACCGCCCGUCACACCAUGGGAGCCGGUAAUGCCCGAAGUCAGUGACCCAACCGCAAGGAGGGAGCUGCCGAAGGUGGAGCUGGUAACUGGGGUGAAGUCGUAACAAGGUAGC